ACAAUAGCCUACAGAGAUUCUG
rnacentral:miRNA from 17 species